UAGGUGGAUGUUAAUGCUAUUAACUGAUUUGACAUGUUGAAUUUGAGAUGUUAGACAUCGAAGUGAAUGGGUACUCUGAAAGAGCAUCAAGAAAAUCUGACUGAAAAAAGAUUGACUGAGAUGGGCGCUGGAGUAUAAGCCAGAGUUUCACAGGAAAGGGGUGCAGACCCAGACCUCAAGAAAGGGCUCUUGGAUCUCGUGUAAGAAGGAAUUCAGGGCGAGUCCAUAGAGUAAAGUGAAAGCAAGUUCAUUAGAAUACUAGAGUUCAAACAAGGUAUGGGGCCGCCCAGCUGGAGACUCCAUUUUCCAGACUCCUUUGCAGCUGUCUCUGGAAUGUGACCUAGUUAUCACCAAGGGAAUAUGAAUGGAAAUGAUAAGCGCAAUUUCUGCUUCAUCGGUUUAAAAGCAAAUUGCUUGCCCUCAACAUCUGUUCUUUUCCCCUGCUGUAAGCCAGAACAUGCACAUGCUUGCAAUUCAACUUUUGAUCAUGCAGAUGAAAACAUUUGCUAAGAAAUUAAAGAUCUUUUAAAACGAC
rnacentral:lncRNA from 10 species